CCUUUGAGUAGAGGCGCGCUGCCUAAGAGUAUUCGGUUGGAGGGAGAUCCCCUGUGAGAGCCGAAGAAAGGAGUCAGCGCCGAAGUAAUUAUUGAGUCAUCAAUAAUCGCUGGUUCUGUAUUUAAUAAGUACAGAACUGCCAUAGUUAUGUUGUCUAUGGAGCGCUACCCUAUAG
rfam:Photobacterium iliopiscarium strain ATCC 51761 CFSAN029430_contig0014, whole genome shotgun sequence.